rnacentral:rRNA from 1 species
UACGGAGGGCGCGAGCGUUGUCCGGAAUCAUUGGGCGUAAAGGGCGCGUAGGUGGCGGGACAAGCGUGCGGUGAAAGCCUGGGGCUCAACCCCGGGUCGGCCGUGCGAACUGUUUUGCUUGAGCACUGUAGAGGCAGGCGGAAUUCCGGGUGUAGCGGUGGAAUGCGUAGAGAUUCGGAAGAACACCGGUGGCGAAGGCGGCCUGCUGGGCAGUAGCUGACACUGAGGCGCGACAGCGUGGGGAGCAAACAGG